GACGUAGGGCGCGAGCGUUGUCCGGAUUUAUUGGGCGUAAAGAGCUCGUAGGCGGCUUGUCGCGUCGGAUGUGAAAGCUCAGGGCUCAACUCUGAGAUGCCAUUCGAUACGGGACGGCUAGAGGUAGGUAGGGGAGAGUGGAAUUCCUGGUGUAGCGGUGAAAUGCGCAGAUAUCAGGAGGAGCACCGGUGGCGAAGGCGGCUCUCUGGGCCUUACCUGACGCUGAGGAGCGAAAGCUGGGGGAGCGAACAGG
rnacentral:rRNA from 1 species